UUCUCACUUCUGCUUGUAUUUUCUUUAGUGCAGAAGGGCUCUUCAUCAGGGCUGUCAUUGCCCAAAUAAUUGCUGCUGCAGCUGUAUCCGUCCCAGCAAUAAAUAUAUCCUGUGAUAAAAGGGUAAACGAUUAUUAUUAAGGACCAUAUCAACUAUUUUAACGCAAAAAAAAAAAAAACUUUCAGUUUACUUGAUUUAUGUUGAGAAAACCAUGUACCAAUAUGCUUGUUAAAGAAGAUGAAAAAAGAAAGAAGAGGAAAUUCAACAAUUGAUUAUCUUGAAAAUAGGGAUAUACUACCAUGAGAAUUGCCUUUAUGUGAUCCCAAGAUAGGCCUAUAAUUGAUGAUUGUUCUUCUUUUAGCUGAAUUAAGAGAUCGAGCAAAUCAUCCUUCAUGCUUUGUGGUCUGUUUGGAUUGAGAUGCUCCUGUAUCAACUCUUGGUAGAAUAAAUCCAGCUCAUUGAAAUUCUUCUCAAGACGUUCAAUA
rnacentral:lncRNA from 1 species